UACAGAGGGUGCGAGCGUUAAUCGGAUUUACUGGGCGUAAAGCGUGCGUAGGCGGCUUUUUAAGUCGGAUGUGAAAUCCUCGAGCUUAACUGGGGAAUUGCAUUCGAUACUGGAAAGCUAGAGUAUGGGGGAGGAUGGUAGAAUUUCAGGUGUAGCGGUGAAAUGCGUAGAGAUGUGGUGGAAUACCGAUGGCGAAGGCAGCCAUCUGGCCUAAUACUGACGCUGAGGUACGAAAGCGUGGGGAGCAAACAGG
rnacentral:misc_RNA from 1 species